GGGCUAGCGUUGUCCGGAAUCAUUGGGCGUAAAGAGCGUGUAGGCGGCCCGGUAAGUCCGCUGUGAAAGUCGGGGGCUCAACCCUCGAAUGCCGGUGGAUACUGUCGGGCUAGAGUGCGGAAGAGGAGAAUGGAAUUCCCGGUGUAGCGGUGAAAUGCGCAGAUAUCGGGAAGAACACCCGUGGCGAAGGCGGUUCUCUGGGACGGUACUGACGCUGAGAAGCGAAAGCAUGGGGAGCGAACAGG
rnacentral:rRNA from 1 species